GGCACGCCCUGUCUGGAACAUGCCAUUCUUACAGAGGGAAGGAAAGAAGAGCUGACAAAACACAUUGAUGCUUCUGUAAGAAGUCCUGCUACUCUGAGCCCACCACCCGAAGAAAAGCCAAGGUAGCCCCGUGCAAGGCUGGGUGGAGACAGAAGAGAGGCCCGGCCAGCUCCCAUGAUCCUGCCAAGCCAGCUGAAGCACCAGACAUGAAUGCUGAGGCAUUGCAAAAUAGAUUUUAACUGGACAGCCUGAUUUGAAGUCGUGGAAGUGCUCUAAAUCAAAUCCAUUUGCUUGAGUAACGAAAGGGUAAACUGGAGACCAUGUUGUAGGUGUUAACGUUUCAAUAUGAACAAGUAUUUCAGAUAAAUUAAAAAGGGCAAACACUGCUUUCUAAUUUUUUUUAAAGUAAUCUCUACACCCAACGUGAAGCUUGAACUCAUGACCCCGAGAUCAAGAGUUGCAUGCUCCACUGAUGGAGCCAG